UAUCCUACGGGACGCAGCAGUGGGGAAUAUUGGGCAAUGGGCGCAAGCCUGACCCAGCAACGCCGCGUGAAGGAAGAAGGCUUUCGGGUUGUAAACUUCUUUUCUCAGGGACGAAGCAAGUGACGGUACCUGACUAAGAAGCCCCGGCUAACUACGUGCCAGCAGCCGCGGUAAUACGUAGGGGGCAAGCGUUAUCCGGAUUUACUGGGUGUAAAGGGAGCGUAGACGGCUGUGCAAGUCUGAAGUGAAAGCCCGUG
rnacentral:rRNA from 1 species